AGCGGCGAACGGGUGAGUAAUACUUGGAUAACCUGCCUUAAGGUCUGGGACAACUACAGGAAACUGUAGCUAAUACCGGAUAUGACCACACUUACUAAGGUAAGAGUGGUAAGAGAUUUAUCGCCUUUAGAUGGGUCCAAGUCGCAUCAGGUUGUUGGUGGGGUAAUGGCCUACCAAGCCUAUGACGCGUAGCAGGUCUUAGCGGAUGAUCUGCCACAUGGGGACUGAGAUACGGCCCUGACUCCUACGGGAGGCAGCAGUGAGGAAUAUUGGGCAAUGGACGCAAGUCUGACCCAGCGAUGCCGCGUGAAGGAUGAAGGCCUUAGGGUUGUAAACUUCUGUCAGCAGGGAAGAUAAUGACGGUACCUGCAUAGGAAGCCCCGGCUAACUCCGUGCCAGCAGCCGCGGUAAUACGGAGGGGGCAAACGUUACUCGGAUUUACUGGGCGUAAAGGGUCCGUAUGCGGUACUUUAAGUUAGAUGUGAAAGCUUGAUGCUUAACUUCAAAAU
rnacentral:rRNA from 1 species